rnacentral:ncRNA from 2 species
CGAUAUGUUGUGUCUGUCGGUGCCCCGCCAGACGCGAUCGUCGGCAGGGCUCAAAAGGGAAUCCGGUGCGAAUCCGGAACUGCCCCGCAGCGGUAAGCGGAAACGAACGCCCAAGGGCCGGAGUCCGUCCGUUCGGGAGAUGGGUGA